GAUGAACGCUAGCGGCAGUGCUUAAUACAUGCAAGUCGUGGGGCAGCAGCUCUGUAGCAAUACAGAGGCUGGCGACCGGCAAACGGGUGCGGAACACGUACGCAAUCUACCCAAAACAGUGUGAAUAGCCUUCCGAAAGUGAAGAUUAAUACACCGUAACCUAUUGAAGUGGCAUCACUUUAUUAGUAUAGCUCCGGCGGUUUUGGAUGAGCGUGCGGCUGAUUAGAUAGUUGGCGGGGUAACGGCCCACCAAGUCUGCGAUCAGUAACUGGUGUGAGAGCACGACCAGUCACACGGGCACUGAGACACGGGCCCGACUCCUACGGGAGGCAGCAGUAAGGAAUAUUGGUCAAUGGACGCAAGUCUGAACCAGCCAUGCCGCGUGAAGGAUGAAGGUCCUCUGGAUUGUAAACUUCUUUUAUAGUGGGACGAAACCUCUUUUUCUAAAGAGACUGACGGUACCCUAGGAAUAAGCACCGGCUAACUCCGUGCCAGCAGCCGCGGUAAUACGGAGGGUGCAAGCGUUAUCCGGAUUCACUGGGUUUAAAGGGUGCGUAGGAGGGCAGGUAAGUCAGUGGUGAAAUCUCCAAGCUUAACUUGGAAACUGCCGUUGAUACUAUCUGUCUUGAAUACCGUGGAGGUGAGCGGAAUAUGUCAUGUAAGGCGGUGAAAUGCUUAGGAUAUG
rnacentral:rRNA from 1 species